UACGUAGGGGGCAAGCGUUGUCCGGAAUUAUUGGGCGUAAAGCGCGCGCAGGCGGUGAUUUAAGUUUGGUGUUUAAGGCCGGGGCUCAACCCCGGUUCGCACUGAAAACUGGGUCGCUGGAGUGCGGGAGAGGAAAGUGGAAUUCCACGUGUAGCGGUGAAAUGCGUAGAGAUGUGGAGGAACACCAGUGGCGAAGGCGACUUUCUGGACCGUAACUGACGCUGAGGCGCGAAAGCGUGGGGAGCAAACAGG
rnacentral:rRNA from 1 species